UCUUGCGCAAUGGGCGAAAGCCUGACGCAGCGACGCCGCGUGGGGGAUGAAGGCCUUCGGGUUGUAAACCCCUUUCAGGAGGGAAGAUGGGACGGGCAACCGUUCGGACGGUACCUUCAGAAGCAGCCACGGCUAACUCUGUGCCAGCAGCCGCGGUAAGACAGAGGUGGCAAGCGUUGUUCGGAUUUACUGGGCGUAAAGGGUGCGUAGGUGGUUAGGUAAGACCUGCGGGAAAGACCUGGGCUUAACCCAGGAAGGUCGUAGGUGACUGCCUGGCUAGAGGGCGGGAGAGGAGAGCGGAAUUCCCGGUGUAGCGGUGAAAUGCGUAGAGAUCGGGAGGAAGGCCGGUGGCGAAGGCGGCUCUCGGAACGUCCUACACUAGCACGAAG
rnacentral:rRNA from 1 species